rnacentral:rRNA from 1 species
UACGUAGGGUGCGAGCGUUGUCCGGAAUUAUUGGGCGUAAAGGGCUUGUAGGCGGUUUGUCGCGUCGGGAGUGAAAACCUUGGGCUUAACUCAGGGCUUGCUUUCGAUACGGGCAGACUAGAGGUAUGCAGGGGAGAACGGAAUUCCUGGUGUAGCGGUGAAAUGCGCAGAUAUCAGGAGGAACACCGGUGGCGAAGGCGGGUCUCUGGGCCGAUACUGACGCUGAGGAGCGAAAGCGUGGGGAGCGAACAGG